UGGUCUCGAUCUCCUGACCUCGUGAUCCGCCCGUCUCGGCCUCCCAAAGUGCUGGGAUUACAGGCCCAACUAAAGUUCUUUACACAGUUCUUGGUCCACCACUUCAACAUAGUCCCAAGCUUCAUAAAACAAAUCUCCAUUAAACCAACCUCAAACUGGCUCCCUAAGCCAGGUUCUCAGAAGCUUAACUAACUAGAGUGUCUUUGGAGAAAGGAAGAGGCAGAGUUGGUGGGUAAAAGAUCAGAUACCAUCAGCAUAAUGUCAUCGCUGCAGUGGACCAGUGUGACAUGUGGAACAUCAAGAUGGUCAGGAUUUUUGCAGGCUCCAUAUGGCAAAAUAUAUAGAGGGAGAUCUGGAGAUACUGAGACCCGGAACAGAGACACAAGGAAGGUCAUGUGAAGACAGAGGCAGAGACUGAAGUCAUACUGUCAAAAGCCACAGAUUGCCAGGAACUACCAGAAACUGAGAGGCAAGGAAGGAUCCCUGCCAAGAAUCUUCAGAGGCAGCAUGGCCCUCCCACAGCUUGAUUUUAGACUCCAAGUCUCCAGAAUUGUGAGAGAAUCUCAGCCUGGCCAGAAGGCUUCUUUGUGGAGAAUGAGAGGGCCUGGUGAAGAGAGAACUUGAGCCGUGCGUCUGUUUUACUGUCAUCGCCGCAUCACGCAUUGUUUGGCGAAUGCUGAGGAAAUGAAGCCAGCUCCCUAUUCAUGUCGGUUGGAAGAGGAAAAGGUGGGCCAAUAAGAGAUGAAGAACAAGCAUUUUGGGAAAUACUUUCCUAAUUAACAAAGAAUCCCAGGAUAAGGCUUAGCAAACAUACCUUAAUCAUUUCUGUGCGUUGGCAUUCAGGAUCACGACCAGCCAUUGGCAAGAUUCUAAUCUUCUGUGUCUUUGAACACCUAUCUGCAAGCGACAGAGUCAUCUUUCUAUGUGUGGCACUGUCCGUAGAGUGAGGUCUGCCAGGAAAUAAACGAAGAGCAUCUCACUGUUUACCAAAUACAUUUGUGAGCCAGUGAUACCCACGUCACAGAAAAGCCCAGUGACCAUUUCCUAGUCACCAGAAAAAACAGGCAGGGACACUCGACUGAAUAUACCAGGUGGACGAUUGUGAGUUUUCUUCAUUCUAUGGCUCACUGAGACAUUCUUAUUCCACAAAUGAAAAACAGAAGGUUGGAGUAAAAAAGACUGUAUGGCAUGAUCACCUUCUAGCAAUAAAUGGAUAAGCUCAAGCAACAUUAAUUAGAUACUACAGGUUGGUGCAAAAGUAAUUAUGGCUUUUGCCAUUACUUUUAAUUAGUAUUAAUAUAUUAAUAUUGUUAAUAUAACUAUCCUAUUUUAUAGAUUUAGGAAACUGAGGCAAAAAGAGAUUGAGAAAGUGGCACAAGGUCACACAAGUGGAAACGGAAUUCAAAUAUGAGCCUAACUGAUUCCAAAGCCUGUACGUUGACCUCUAUAAUUUCAAAAAGCUAAAUCAUAACCAACAUUAUUGUGCCCCCUCUAAAGAUAAGCAUUACCCAAGGCAGUUAUAAUAGUCACUGGAAUUAAAUACACUGACAUUCUCUUGUAAGUCUGGUUAGCAUGACCUGGUUCCCUAAGAAAUAGCAACUUUCAGUGUAUUUGACAAAAUAACUUUUGAACCAUCAGAACUAUGCACAAGAUCUUGGUUCUUGCUGAAUCAUACCGUGGGGUUACAUCAAUCAGGUGGCAGGCAUUACAGAAACAUCUAUGUUUCACUGCUUUUACCAUAAAAAAUAAUACAUAAUAAUAAUAACAGUUACCUGAAGGUGAGUUUCGUUUUAAAGACUGCUUGUCCCUGUAGACCAGUACCUUGUCUUAUAAAAAGAUGAUUGUGGUCGCCCUGCAGUGGGGCUUUGUACACAUCAAACACUUCAUUGCCUAAAUGCAGGGACAUGCUGGAAAGAAGAAACAUUUCAUAUACUAAAGUCAUAAAGCUUUCACUCUACCAUCUUACUUCACUUAAAGGUGAUUCAGGCUGGGCACGGUGGCCCAAACAUGUAAUCCCAGCACUUUGGGAGACUGAGG